rnacentral:rRNA from 1 species
UACAGAUGAGCCAAGCGUUGUCCGGAUUGACUGGGCGUAAAGCGCACGCAGGCGGAUGCGCGCGUGGGGUGUGAAAUCUGGCCGCUUAACGGCCAGGCGCCAUCCCAUACGGCGCGUCUGGAGCUAUGCAGAGGUCGGUGGAAUUGCCGGUGUAGUGGUGAAAUGCGUAGAGAUCGGCAGGAACACCCAGGGGGAAACCAGCCGACUGGGCAUAUGCUGACGCUGAGGUGCGAGAGCGUGGGGAGCGAACCGG